UACGGGGGGGGCAAGCGUUGUUCGGAAUUACUGGGCGUAAAGGGCUCGUAGGCGGCCAACUAAGUCGGACGUGAAAUCCCCAGGCUCAACCUGGGAACUGCGUCCGAUACUGGAUGGCUUGAAUCCGGGAGAGGGAUGCAGAAUUCCAGGUGUAGCGGUGAAAUGCGUAGAUAUUGGGAGGAACACCGGUGGCGAAGGCGACAUCCUGGACCGGUAUUGACGCUGAGGCGCGAAAGCCAGGGGAGCAAACGGG
rnacentral:rRNA from 1 species